rnacentral:rRNA from 1 species
GAUGAACGCUGGCGGCGUGCCUAAUACAUGCAAGUCGAGCGAACAGACGAGGAGCUUGCUCCUCUGACGUUAGCGGCGGACGGGUGAGUAACACGUGGAUAACCUACCUAUAAGACUUGGAUAACUUCGGGAAACCGGAGCUAAUACCGGAUAACAUGUUGAACCGCAUGGUUCAACAGUGAAAGACGGUCUUGCUGUCACUUAUAGAUGGAUCCGCGCCGCAUUAGCUAGUUGGUAAGGUAACGGCUUACCAAGGCAACGAUGCGUAGCCGACCUGAGAGGGUGAUCGGCCACACGGGAACUGAGACACGGGCCAGAAGCCUACGGGAGGCAGCAGUAGGGAAGCUUCCGCAAUGGGCGAAAGCCUGACGGAGCAACGCCGAGUGAGUGAAGAAGGUCUUCGGAUCGUAAAACUCUGUUAUUAGGGAAGAACAAAUGUGUAAGUAAAUAUGCACGUCUUGACGGUACCUAAACAGAAAGCCACGGCUAACUACGU